rnacentral:rRNA from 1 species
UACAGAGGGUGCAAGCGUUGUUCGGAAUUAUUGGGCGUAAAGCGCGUGUAGGCGGCUUGGCAAGUCGGAUGUGAAAGCCCUGGGCUCAACCUAGGAAGUGCAUUCGAAACUUCCGAGCUGGAGUGCUGGAGAGGAAGGCGGAAUUCUCGGUGUAGAGGUGAAAUUCGUAGAUAUCGAGAGGAACACCGGUGGCGAAGGCGGCCUUCUGGACAGCCACUGACGCUGAGACGCGAAAGCGUGGGGAGCAAACAGG